GGAAUAUUGGUCAAUGGGCGUGAGCCUGAACCAGCCAAGUAGCGUGCAGGACGACGGCCCUACGGGUUGUAAACUGCUUUUAUGCGGGGAUAAAGUGUGGGACGCGUCCCACAGUGCAGGUACCGCAUGAAUAAGGACCGGCUAAUUCCGUGCCAGCAGCCGCGGUAAUACGGAAGGUCCAGGCGUUAUCCGGAUUUAUUGGGUUUAAAGGGAGCGUAGGCCGGAGAUUAAGUGUGUUGUGAAAUGUAGAUGCUCAACAUCUGCACUGCAGCGCAUACUGGUUUCCUUGAGUACACGCAACGUUGGCGGAAUUCGUCGUGUAGCGGUGAAAUGCUUAGAUAUGACGAAGAACUCCGAUUGCGAAGGCAGCUGACGGGAGUGCAACUGACGCUGAAGCUCGAAAGUGCGGGUAUCGAACA
rnacentral:rRNA from 1 species